UACGUAGGGGGCUAGCGUUGUCCGGAAUCAUUGGGCGUAAAGAGCGUGUAGGCGGCCCGGUAAGUCCGCUGUAAAAGUCAAAGGCUCAACCUUUGAAUGUCAGUGGAUACUGUCGCGCUAGAGUGCAGAAGGGGCAAUCGGAAUUCUCGGUGUAGCGGUGAAAUGCGUAGAUAUCGAGAGGAACACCAGAGGUGAAGACGGGUUGCUGGGCUGACACUGACGCUGAGGCGCGAAAGCCAGGGGAGCAAACGGG
rnacentral:rRNA from 1 species